UUCAACUUCUAAUUUUGAGUCAUUCUAGUGAAUUUUUGCACUCUUGGGAUAUUUCGGGAAGAGAGAGCUGCUGAGUGCCAUGUUACAUUAUGGAAGCUUUUUUGCAUUCUUCUGACAGAGGGGAUUGAAGGCUGUCUGCCAUGUUCGUGCUGUGCCAGAGGUACCCAGCUCAGCAAGGAGGUUUGGAUUGCAGUUCUCAGGGAAUUUGGAUGUUGAUUAAUUUUGGCCAGGAAUUAGAAGUGUCCUUGUGGUUCUGA
rnacentral:lncRNA from 1 species